rnacentral:tRNA from 1 species
AUUCAUAUAAUAUAAAUAUUAUAUUUGACUUCCAAUCAAAAAAUCUAAACACUAGUAUGAAUA